CUCCUUUCUAUCUUGCAGUGUCUUCUCUCCAGCAACACUGAGCUCCCAGGCAAACUUCAGCCAUGAAGAUUCUGUACCUGUUCUUUGCUGUCUUUUUCCUGGUGCUGCAAAGCUCUCUAGGAUACACCCGCUUCAACAAAUAUUCCAUUGGUUGUGUUUAUGCUCGGGGCUUCUGCCAGCAUACAUGUCCCCCCAAUUUCAGACGAAUAAGAAGUUGCGGUUUUGGGCUGAGUUGCUGUAGGAAAUGGUAAAGGGAGUGAGUGAUGGCAGCAGAGAUUGUCAAUGCAGGAUCUCUCGGAAUCUGGCAGACGACGCUUUGCUUCUAAAAUCCUUGGAUGCUUUUCAUCUGGGCUGGAAAGAAUCUCGCAAGACGGAAAAAAUCCACAAGGGAGCACUUCUGUCCCCCCGGCAAUAGCUUGUUCUUCUCCUUUUAAUAAAAGUAGCUGCUGGUUGUGGUGUAUUGCA